AUUGAACGCUGGCGGCAUGCCUUACACAUGCAAGUCGAACGGCAGCACGGGUGCUUGCACCUGGUGGCGAGUGGCGAACGGGUGAGUAAUACAUCGGAACGUACCUUAUCGUGGGGGAUAACGCAGCGAAAGCUGUGCUAAUACCGCAUACGCCCUGAGGGGGAAAGCGGGGGAUCGCAAGACCUCGCGCGAUUGGAGCGGCCGACGCCUGAUUAGCUUGUUGGUGGGGUAAAAGCCCACCAAGGCGACGAUCAGUAGCUGGUCUGAGAGGACGAUCAGCCACACUGGGACUGAGACACGGCCCAGACUCCUACGGGAGGCAGCAGUGGGGAAUUUUGGACAAUGGGGGCAACCCUGAUCCAGCAAUGCCGCGUGAGUGAAGAAGGCCUUCGGGUUGUAAAGCUCUUUUGUCAGGGAAGAAACACCGGCUCUAACACAGUCCGGGAAUGACGGUACCUGAAGAAUAAGCACCGGCUAACUACGUGCCAGCCGCCGCGGUAA
rnacentral:rRNA from 1 species